CCUACGGGUGGCUGCAGUGAGGAAUAUUGGUCAAUGGGCGUGAGCCUGAACCAGCCAAGUCGCGUGAGGGAAGACGGUCCUAUGGAUUGUAAACCUCUUUUGUCGGGGAGCAAAAGACGCCACGCGUGGCGUUUCGAGAGUACCCGAAGAAAAAGCAUCGGCUAACUCCGUGCCAGCAGCCGCGGUAAUACGGAGGAUGCGAGCGUUAUCCGGAUUUAUUGGGUUUAAAGGGUGCGAAGGCGGGUUAUAAAGUCAGCGGUAAAAUUGUGAGGCUCAACCUCUUCGAGCCGUUGAAACUGGGGUUCUUGAGUGAGUGAGAGGUAUGCGGAAUGCGUGGUGUAGCGGUGAAAUGCAUAGAUAUCACGCAGAACUCCGAUUGCGAAGGCAGCAUACCGGCGCUCAACUGACGCGCAUGCACGAAAGUGUGGGUAUCGAACAGGAUUAGAUACCCCGGUAGUC
rnacentral:rRNA from 1 species